rnacentral:tRNA from 1 species
GGUAGGGUAUCCAAGGGGCUAAAGGGCGCGGACUGUAAAUCCGUUCGGCUUUGCCGUUCACUGGUUCGAAUCCAGUCCCUACCA